AGCAAUAGUUAAUGACGACCGGCGCACGGGUGCGUAACACGUAUGCAACCCACCCUCAAGAUUGGGAUAGCCCGGCGAAAGCCGGAUUAAUACCGAAUGGCACAUAUAUAUCGCAUGUUAUAUAUGUUAAAGAAUUAUCGCUUGAGGACGGGCAUGCGUUCCAUUAGGUAGUUGGUGAGGUAACGGCCCACCAAGCCAUCGAUGGAUAGGGGUUCUGAGAGGAAGGUCCCCCACACUGGUACUGAGACACGGACCAGACUCCUACGGGAGGCAGCAGUGAGGAAUAUUGGUCAAUGGCCGUGAGGCUGAACCAGCCAAGUCGCGUGCAGGAUGACGGCCUUAUGGGUUGUAAACUGCUUUUGGACGGGAAUAAAGUGCAUCACGUGUGGUGUAUUGCAUGUACCGUCAGAAUAAGCAUCGGCUAACUCCGUGCCAGCAGCCGCGGUAAUACGGAGGAUGCAUGCGUUAUCCGGAUUUAUUGGGUUUAAAGGGUGCGUAGGUGGGCUGAUAAGUCAGCGGUGAAAGUUUGUCGCUUAACGAUAAGAAUGCCGUUGAAACUGUUGGUCUUGAGUAUGUUUGGGGCAGGCGGAAUGCGGGGUGUAGCGGUGAAAUGCAUAGAUAUCCCGCAGAACUCCAAUCGCGAAGGCAGCUUGCCAAGUCAUUACUGACACUGAAGCACGAAAGCGUGGGUAUCAAA
rnacentral:rRNA from 1 species